GCCAUUUAUAACUCGCAGCGACAUUAAGGUGGUUUUCCCGCAAAACCGAAUAAAAAAACAGUGCAGGAGUUAUUUCCCCUAUCUAGAUCAGAAUGUGUAAUGGCGGGCGACUUUUGACGUUGCAGACACAGUAACAAAUGUAGCAAUAGGUCACCUGACAAUAACAGGAUUGAGGUUACAGUAUGCCAUUCAAGCUGUGAUGAAUUAUAAAGUUUGGUUUGAAUUUGGAGAGCUUCAUUACAUGUAUUAUAGACAGGGAUGAAGACCUGCAGUCAGACACCAGUUAAAAGUUACUUAUAACUCAUCAUGGCCAUUAUGGAAGAUCUGAUUAAAAUUUGUCUAGAAAGCCACCAAAUAUGUCCAUGAAAAAUAGAAAAAUGACAGCAAUUCUACAUAAUGCACCGUACUAAGUAGAAGCAUUGACUGUUUCAAAACCAAAUAAAUUGGAAUUUAGUGUAUUGAUGCUGAAAUAGAGAGGAAUAUUAUUAAUUGGACAAUUUAACUUCUUUUUCAUCAUUAUUGAAGUUGAUGUAUACCAUCUUAAAGAGUUUUUACUUGACACAUGUGACAGUUAAAAGGAAUACCAAAUAUGCAUAAUAAAGGCCGUUUGGAGAUUUGUGAAUAGUCUUAAAAUAGGAGUUUCAAAAAGGAUUUCAGUUAAAAUAUUGUAUUUCACGGAUGUCAGAAAUGUAAUUUUUUUGUCUCUUUCAUGAAAUGUUUUAAAAAAUCUGCAAUAUCUAACCAAGACGAGUGAGAGAUCUACAGAUAGACAUAUGAUAUUCAGUUGAACUGUAAACAUGGUAAAGGGGAAUUUUGAAAUAUUCAUUUAUAAGACUUC